GGGGGUAAAGUCACAUGAUAUGAUUAGUUGAUCUUAAUCUUAUAAUAUAACCCAUUUCAAUCUUAUCAACAUGUUAUAAUUUCUCACAUCAUACCUACUUACCCAGCAUACAUUUUGAGUACCUUCAAAUUCCACUUACGCCAAUGAGUCUCUACCCACAACUUAUUAAUUAAUCUACCCCUUUCCAUUCGCAACCUAUAACUGAUUUCUAUAACUACCAUAACUACCCACUUUUGGCUUUUUCCCGAAUUCGAAUAGAUAAUAAUCAUAGCCAGCCACUUCCUUAACAAACUACCAUAUAAUCUAUAAAUAUUACUACCACACUGGUCUAUAAUAUACAAUGGCAACCCACUCC
rnacentral:lncRNA from 1 species